rnacentral:tRNA from 1 species
GGAGGGUAUAGAUCAGUGGUAGAGUGCAUGCUUAGCAUGCAUGAGGUACUGGGUUCGAUCCCCAGUACCUCCA